UCAUAUAGACCGAACGGCGUGAUAAUUGC
rnacentral:piRNA from 1 species